GACGAACGCUGGCGGCGUGCUUAACACAUGCAAGUCGAACGGAAAGGCCCCUUCGGGGGUACUCGAGUGGCGAACGGGUGAGUAACACGUGGGCAACCUGCCCUCAGCUUCGGGAUAACAUUUGGAAACAGGUGCUAAUACCGGAUAAUAACUUGUCAUCGCAUGGUGGUGGGUUCAAAGUUUUUCGGCUGAGGAUGGGCCCGCGGCCUAUCAGCUUGUUGGUGGGGUAAUGGCCUACCAAGGCGACGACGGGUAGCCGGCCUGAGAGGGCGACCGGCCACACUGGGACUGAGACACGGCCCAGACUCCUACGGGAGGCAGCAGUGGGGAAUAUUGCGCAAUGGGCGGAAGCCUGACGCAGCGACGCCGCGUGAGGGAUGACGGCCU
rnacentral:rRNA from 1 species